rnacentral:miRNA from 15 species
CCUGGAAAUACUGAGGUUGAGU